AACGAACGCUGGCGGCAGGCCUAACACAUGCAAGUCGAGCGAGAUCUUCGGGUCUAGCGGCGGACGGGUGAGGAACGCGGGGGAAUAUGCCCCUGGGUAUGGAAUAGCCUCGGGAAACUGGGAGUAAUACCGGUUGUGCCCUUUGGGGGAAAGAUUUAUCGCCAGGAGAUUAGGCCGCGUUGGAUUGGGUAGUUGGUGGGGUACUGGCCUAUCAAGCCGACGAUUCAUAGCUGGUUUGAGAGGAUGAUCAGCUACACUGGGACUGAGACACGGCUCAGACUAGUACGGGAGGGAGCAGUGGGGAAACGUAGGAGAAGGGGGCGAAUCUAACAACGCCAUGCCGCGUAAGUGGUGAAGACCUUAGGAGUAUAAAGCCAUUUCAGCUGGGAAGAGAAUGACGGUAACGGCAAAAGAAGCCCCGGCUAACUCCGUG
rnacentral:rRNA from 1 species